rnacentral:tRNA from 1 species
UAGUUCAGUUGGUAGAACGUUUGACUGUUAAUCAGAAAGUCGCAGGUUCGAGUCCUGCCCCCGCCA